UGUUCUAUGGAUACUUCUUGCUAUAAAAAAUGCUUGUGGUUGAUAAAUUGAUGUGUCAAAAAUGUGCAGCUCAUAUCAAGUGUUGGGUGUGAUCAUAGUUUACAUCUUACAGAAUUUGAUAGCUCGUAAUAAAAGUAUACUACUACUUGAAUGCAGCUUUGCAAUUAUAUAACAUGUAUGUAUGCCGCAAAUCUGUAAGGAACCGCUUGGUUAGCGAUGUCCUGUUCCCUCCCAUAAAUACCAUGUACAUGCUAAAAUAGAAAAUAAGAAAAAAAAACUAUAUAUACAGAACAUGCACCAUUAUACAGUCCUGGACAUCUAAUCCUUCUAGUUUUUUCAUAACUUAUUCUCUUCCGAAAUUCCUUUGGUCAUACUACAGCCACUGCCUCUGCUAUUAAAGGUAUAGCUACUUAUUUCUAAUAAGGUUGUUAUUUGGCUUAGAGGAGUUGCGAGUGACAAAUGGUUUUGGUGGUGUUGUUCUCAGCCCUGUUGGGACACAUUGUGUAUCCAAGGAAGAUCAUCCUAUCGUGCAAAGAAAAGGAUUGGCCGUGGUUGACUGUUCUUGGGCACGUUUAGAUGAUGUUCCUUUCGCGAAACUCCGUUGUGGUGCUCCUCGUCUCUCGGGGAGAAAGAUACCGGAAACUGCUGCUUGCCAAAUUCAAGUGGGGUCACUCAUUCUUAUCACUUAACAGAUCAGUUCAGUAAAAAAAAAUGUCACAUAUAGGUUUGCAGUGAAUUUCGGAAUAUGUACACCACUGUACUUGUUAGAUGGGGCAACCAAUGAGAUGUGUGUUAAGUAAUACCAUUGUCCUGCAAAACACAAAUCUCAAUAGCUGUUACAUAGAUGAAGCAAAGUAUUUCGGACUAUGUAGCACAAUGUACUUGUUAGAUAGGGUAAGCAUCAGAUAUUUGUCAAAUAUAUCAUUUUCCUGCAAAGCACAAAUCCCAAUAACUGUUACACAUCAGAUAUUUGUUAAAUAUACCAUUGUCCUGCAAAGCACAAACUCCAAUAAUUGUUACAUAGAUCAAACAACUUAAUUCUGGCUCUACAUGCGAACUGCUGACCGAAAUACUAAUUAUCAGUUGCAAUGCCACGAUAAUCCAGGCCGUCCUGCCUAAGGCACUGUGCAGCUGUGCUGCAUUUUUAACAUUGUCAAGUAAGCUUUAGAAGACGGCGUAUUACAGAGAUCUGCUGAAAGCAUACUCCAAGUGUUAGAAUGGCACCGAGAUAAUCAACGUGCAGAACUCGUGGUUAGCCAGUGCCACAAGUGUGCCCAAGUCACCUGUAAACGGUGUCAAUCGCAUCACCUCUCGGAGUAUUUGAAUCGGCAGAGAAAUCACAGCAAAGCACGGAGGAAGGAUCGGAUGAUGAUUCUGACGAUGGCUUGCCUCCUCUGGAGGAGAACAUGAACCACUUGAACCUUAGCGAAGACGAGGAAGAAAGCGAAACCGAGUAAGAGAAGGUAUCAUCACUAAGUUAUGCUUGAGGCCAGUGAACUUUAUGCCGCGCGACACAAGAGGAUAUUUGUUUGUUUGUCCAAUGGAAAUAAGAGCCAAGUGUGAUGAUGUGUCGUGGAUCUUAAGACAAGUGUUUGUAUACUUGUAGUGCUUGCUUCAUACCAGUAUAUGUACAACUCUUGGUCUGUGAUGGUCGCGUGGACAUGACGGAUCCUGGCAAUCGUCAACUCCACGGCUUCACGUUCUUGACUCCUAGCCAGUGGCUUCGACAACUGCGAGACCAUCAGUUGGCCGAGCCGGGAAGAUACCCUCGAUCGUACACCUGUUUCUAAGGUUGUAAAGCGUCCAGAAAAGUGCAGCGAAACAGAUCUGAAGGACCCGCUUAGCGUGACCAUCAUGACCAUGCAAGAACCUAAGCACAUCUGCGAAGCAAGCGGGGUUUAACGAGCACCCGACCAUUCCUGAGCUGCACUCUACAUAAAUCUAGCCAAAGCGCACGAGAAAAAAUGUGAUUGCAAUCUUCAACCUUCCCAUCGAAUGAUUCCCUUAGAAACAAAACAAAAAAUAGGAGUUAAAUUUGCUACGAUUAACAAUUCUCACCGGACAUGGUGUUUUUCUC